GACGAACGCUGGCGGCGUGCUUAACACAUGCAAGUCGAACGGAAAGGCCCUGCUUUUGUGGGGUGCUCGAGUGGCGAACGGGUGAGUAACACGUGAGUAACCUGCCCUUGACUUUGGGAUAACUUCAGGAAACUGGGGCUAAUACCGGAUAGGAGCUCCUGCUUCAUGGUGGGGGUUGGAAAGUUUCGGCGGUUGGGGAUGGACUCGCGGCUUAUCAGCUUGUUGGUGGGGUAGUGGCUUACCAAGGCUUUGACGGGUAGCCGGCCUGAGAGGGUGACCGGGCACAGUGGGACUGAGAGACGGGCAAGACGCCAACGGGAGGCAGGGGUGGGGAAUAUUGCAAAAUGGGCGGAAGCCUGAGGCAGAAACGCCGGGUGCGGGAUGACGGCCUUCGGGUUGUAAACCGCUUUCGCCGGUGACGAAGAGUGAGUGACGGUAAUGGGUAAAGAAGCACCGGCUAACUACGUG
rnacentral:rRNA from 1 species